rnacentral:tRNA from 1 species
GCAGUCAUGGCCGAGGGGUUAAGGCGAUGGAUUAGAAAUCCAUUGGGGUCUCCCCGCACAGGUUCGAAUCCUGUCGACUGCG